CACAGGGCGCGGCCUACCGUGCGCGUCGAGCGGAACGAGUUAUCUGAACCUUCGGGGAACGAUAACGGCGUCGAGCGGCGGACGGGUGAGUAAUGCCUAGGAAAUUGCCUUGAUGUGGGGGAUAACCAUUGGAAACGAUGGCUAAUACCGCAUAAUGCCUACGGGCCAAAGAGGGGGACCUUCGGGCCUCUCGCGUCAAGAUAUGCCUAGGUGGGAUUAGCUAGUUGGUGAGGUAAUGGCUCACCAAGGCGACGAUCCCUAGCUGGUCUGAGAGGAUGAUCAGCCACACUGGAACUGAGACACGGUCCAGACUCCUACGGGAGGCAGCAGUGGGGAAUAUUGCACAAUGGGCGCAAGCCUGAUGCAGCCAUGCCGCGUGUAUGAAGAAGGCCUUCGGGUUGUAAAGUACUUUCAGCAGUGAGGAAGGGGGUGUCGUUAAUAGCGGCAUCUCUUGACGUUAGCUGCAGAAGAAGCACCGGCUAACUCCGUGCCAGCAGCCGCGGUAAUACGGAGGGUGCGAGCGUUAAUCGGAAUUACUGGGCGUAAAGCGCAUGCAGGUGGUUUGUUAAGUCAGAUGUGAAAGCCCGGGGCUCAACCUCGGAACUGCAUUUGAAACUGGCAAACUAGAGUACUGUAGAGGGGGGUAGAAUUUCAGGUGUAGCGGUGAAAUGCGUAGAGAUCUGAAGGAAUACCAGUGGCGAAGGCGGCCCCCUGGACAGAUACUGACACUCAGAUGCGAAAGCGUGCGGAGCAAACAGGAUUAGAUACCCUGGUAGUCCACGCCGUAAACGAUGUCUACUUGGAGGUUGUGGCCUUGAGCCGUGGCUUUCGGAGCUAACGCGUUAAGUAGACCGCCUGGGGAGUACGGUCGCAAGAUUAAAACUCAAAUGAAUUGACGGGGGCCCGCACAAGCGGUGGAGCAUGUGGUUUAAUUCGAUGCAACGCGAAGAACCUUACCUACUCUUGACAUCCAGAGAACUUACCAGAGAUGCAUUGGUGCCUUCGGGACUCUGAGACAGUGCUGCAUGGCUGUCGUCAGCUCGUGUUGUGAAUUUUGGGUUAAGUCCCGCACGAGCGCACCCUUAUCCUUGUUUGC
rnacentral:rRNA from 1 species